CUCAUAUUUCACAGCUUUCUUUGUCAAUAAAAAAUUAAAUUUUAUAACAAAAACAAUACGUAUAGAAUUUUUGGAUAUUGAAAUAUAAUCUGAAACCUUUUUAGUUAAUUUUAUUCGCAAAAUUCGAAGAAGUGAUAAACACCUAGCACUGAAUUCACCGAUUCUAGUUUUUCCAGUUUAUAGAGCUGCUUUGAUAAGUUGAUAAUUAAAAAGUUUUCAAAUCUGCUAAUAUUUUUUUUUUUUUCUUUUAUUGCCGGAAAUGUAGAACAUUGCUGUAGACAGCCACGAUUGGAGACCAGAAUUGCCACUACAAGUACAAAACUAGUUUGUGCGAAUCUAAAGCAGAUCUUAACGAAUUGGGUUAUUGAAGUAACCCUGAAGACUUUAAACUACAAUUUGAUUGAAGGAAAAACGAAAACAAAAAUUAAAAUUGGAUAUCGUGAAACGUUUUUACGAAAAAUAUACUAAAAUUAUGUGGACAUUUUUAUACUCUCGCAACAAAAGGUUGCUUUCGAAAAUGAGCAAAAUCGGACCACUGCCACGCCCACAAAAUGGCGAAAACCGAGAACACAUAAAGUGCCAUAACUAAGCCAUAAAUUAAGCUAUGGAAAUAAAAUUUGGUAUGAAGGAUCGCACUAUGAAGGGGCAUAUUUUGAUGUAAUUUUUUUGGGGAAGUGGGCGUGGCCCCGCCCCCAAAUAGGUUUUUUGUACAUAUCUCACAAAUCAAUAUAGCUAUGUAAACCAAACUUUCUGCAGUCGUUUUUUAGCCAUUUCUUAAUACAGUCCAAAAAUGAAAGAAAUCGAAUAAUAACCACGCCCACCUCUUAUACAAAGGUUAGGUUGAAAAUUAGUAAAAGUGGGUUAACUUAUUAACGAAAAACGGCAGAAACACUAAAUUUCACAUAGAAAAU